GACAUGAACCACUGGCUGAGAAACAUCCUGAUUCUGACUCUCUGGCUAGAGUGUAAAGGAGAAGACAGAGUGACCCAGCCAGCAGGAGAUGUCAUUGCUGCUGAAGGAGACACAGUUACACUUGGCUGUACUUUUGAGACGAGUAGAACAGGUCCAGCUUUGUUCUGGUACAAACAGGAUGGAGACAACAGCCCCAAAUUCAUACUGAGCCGCGUUCAACAGGAUGAUGGGAAAACAGAGGAAGAGUUUAAAGAAAGAUUUUCAUCCACACUGAAUUCCACCUCAAGAUCAGUUCCUCUGAAGAUCCAGAAGCUUCAGCUGUCUGACUCUGCUGUGUACUACUGUGCUCUGCAGCCCACAGUGACAGGAAACACCUUUGCCUUCAAACAGCAGUUCUCCUAA